AGAGGUAUCGUAAUUGAAGAGGUUUGGAAAGACCCACCACAGAAGGUAAUAGUCCUGUAUGUUAAACGAGAAGACUUUAGAUAUGAUCCAGAGUACCACGGGACACGUGAAACCCUGUGGGAAGCAGGAGGGACCACCCUCCAAGGCUAAAUACUACCUAGUGACCGAUAGCGUAUAGUACCGUGAGGGAAAGGUGAAAAGAACCCCGGGAGGGGAGUGAAAUAGAACCUGAAACCCUGCACUUACAAGCUGUGGAAGCACAUUUCUUGUGUGACCGCGUACUUUUUGUAGAACGGGCCAACGAGUUACGUUAAGUAGCAAGGUUAAGCACUUAAGGUGUGGAGCCGUAGCGAAAGCGAGUUUUAACUGAGCGUUCAGUUACUUGACGUAGACCCGAAACCGGGCGACCUACCCAUGAGCAGGAUGAAGCGAAAGUAAAAUUUCGUGGAGGUCCGAACCCACGAGCG
rnacentral:rRNA from 1 species